rnacentral:lncRNA from 1 species
GGGAGGAGCUGCCCAGGUGUGCUGAGGGGCCUGUACUCAGGAAGAGAAACAGGGAAUCCUCCACAGCACUAGAAAAACACCCCAACUCACCAAUGACAGCAAAGCAGAUAUUGGAAGUCAUUCAGAAAGAAGGGUUAAAAGAAACAAGUUCUGGAAGACAGAAAGCCCAGAUUAAGGUUGGCAGUGUCCGUUUCUGACCCCGGCAUGGCUUGGAGACAGCGUUGGUGUGUAUGAAGGAUCUUCCUCCAAUGAAGGAUUUGGGACAACUUUCCAUGAUGAUUAUAUUAGAGCCUCAGCUGCUUUCGUGUUGGUCAUGAGGUGAUGCUGAACCGAAUGCUUGAACUAGCAGGAGUGGCUGGGAUUGCAUUGGAGUGGUUCCGUUCAUUCCUUCCGGUGGAACCUCUCCAUUAGCCUGUCUGAAUGCAAUGCUUCACACUAACACUCGAAUAGGGGAUGGAACAUUCUUCAAAAUCCCUGGAAAGUCAGGCCUCUAUGCUCUCAAAAAAGAGGAGUCGUCAUGCCCAGCAGAUGGCACGUUGGAUUUAGUCUGUGAAUCUGAAUUGGAUGGUACAGAUAUGGCCGAGGCAAAUGCCCAUGGAGAAGAAAAUGGAGUCAUGUUCGGGACCACUCUACAAGUACAGAAGAUGUGUAUA